UGGCGGACGGGUGAGUAACGCGUGGGUAACCUGCCUCACGACAGGGGGAUAACAGUUGGAAACGACCGCUAAUACCGCAUAACCCGCUGGUAUCGCAUGAUACUGACGGAAAAGAAUUUAUCGGUGUGAGAUGGACCCGCGUCUGAUUAGCCAGUUGGCAGGGUAACGGCCUACCAAAGCGACGAUCAGUAGCCGGCCUGAGAGGGUGAACGGCCACAUUGGGACUGAGACACGGCCCAAACUCCUACGGGAGGCAGCAG
rnacentral:rRNA from 1 species